ensembl:snRNA U5 U5 spliceosomal RNA
AUACUCUGGUUUCUCUUCAGAUCGUAUAAAUCUUUCCGUGGAGAGGAACAUAUAGGCGUUUUUAUUCAAUUUUUUUUGAGGCUGUACUUUGGUAGGGUU